GUGCUCACUUUGGCAGCACAUAUACUAAAAUUGGAACGAUACAGAGAUUAGCAUGGCCCCUUGGCAAAGAUGACACGCAAAUUAGUGAAGUGUUCCAUUAAAAA